UUGGUCUAACAUGUAGGCUGGAGUGCAGUGGUACAAGCUUGGCUCACUGCAGCCUCUGCUUCCUGGGCUCAAAUGAUCCUCUCAUCUCAGUCUCCUCUUGAGUAGCUCGGACUACAAGGUCACGCCACCACACUGCUAAUUUUUUUUGUAGAGCUGAGGUCUCACUAUAUAUAUUGCAUUGGCUGGUCUUGAGCUCCUGUGCUCAAGCUGUCCUCCUGCAAUAUUGGGAUUACAGGCGUAAACCAAAGAAGUCUUCAUAUUUUGUUACUUUAUAGAGUCACAUUUUAAUGUUAAGCUAUAAAUUGGGCAUAAUUGCCAGGUAGCAGUCUGGCUAAUUGUUUCUAUUAAUUUUUCACAGAAACAUCUGUAUGUGUGCAUUGUUAAGCUUUAGAUCUUUGGGUAACAGUUCAAACUUAGGUCU
rnacentral:lncRNA from 1 species